GGUGUAGGCCGCACCACCGCCUGAAAAGCGGAAGGUCGGCGGUUCGAUCCCGCCCCUGGCCACCA
rnacentral:tRNA from 3 species